ACGCUGGCGGCGUGCUUACACAUGCAAGUCGAGCGAUGAAGUUUCUUCGGAAAUGGAUUAGCGGCGAACGGGUGAGGAACACGUGAAGAAUCUGCCCUCCACUUUGGGAUAACACAGGGAAACCUGUGCUAAUACCGAAUAUUGAAACAUAAGUGGCAUCACUGAGUUUUGAAAGAAUUUCGGUGAAGGAUGAGCUCGCGGCCUAUCAGCUAGUUGGUGAGGUAAUGGCUCACCAAGGCGACGACGGGUAGCCGGCCUGAGAGGGCGACCGGCCACACUGGGACUGAGACACGGCCCAGACUCCUACGGGAGGCAGCAGUGGGGAAUAUUGGGCAAUGGAGGAAACUCUGACCCAGCGACGCCGCGUGCGGGAUGAAGGCCUUCGGGUUGUAAACCGCUUUCAGUAGGGAAGAAGCGAAAGUGACGGUACCUACAGAAGAAGCACCGGCUAACUAUGUGCCAGCAGCCGCGGUAAUACAUAGGGUGCAAGCGUUGUCCGGAAUUAUUGGGCGUAAAGAGCUCGUAGGUGGUUUGAUACGUCGGAUGUGAAAUUCAGGGGCUCAACCCCUGACCUGCAUUCGAUACGGUCAAGCUAGAGUUUGGUAGGGGAGACUGGAAUUCCUGGUGUAGCGGUGGAAUGCGCAGAUAUCAGGAGGAACACCGAUGGCGAAGGCAGGUCUCUGGGCCAAUACUGACACUGAGGAGCGAAAGCGUGGGGAGCGAACAGGAUUAGAUACCCUGGUAGUCCACGCCGUAAACGGUGGGCGCUAGUUGUGCGAACCUUCCACGGUUUGUGCGACGCAGCUAACGCAUUAAGCGCCCCGCCUGGGGAGUACGAGCGCAAGAUUAAAACUCAAAGGAAUUG
rnacentral:rRNA from 1 species